rnacentral:ncRNA from 2 species
UACGUAGGCAGCAAGCGUUGUUCGGAGUUACUGGGCGUAAAGGGUGCGUAGGCGGCCGCAAAAGUAUGGUGUGAAAUCUCCCGGCUUAACUGGGAGGGUGCGCUAUAAACUGCGUGGCUAGAGUGUGGGAGAGGAAAGUGGAAUUCCUGGUGUAGCGGUGAAAUGCGUAGAUAUCAGGAGGAACACCGGUGGUGUAAACGGCUUUCUGGACCAUAACUGACGCUGAGGCACGAAAGCGUGGGUAGCAAACAGG